GAUGAACGCUGGCGGCGUGCCUAAUACAUGCAAGUCGAGCGAACAGACGAGGAGCUUGCUCCUCUGACGUUAGCGGCGGACGGGUGAGUAACACGUGGAUAACCUACCUAUAAGACUGGGAUAACUUCGGGAAACCGGAGCUAAUACCGGAUAAUAUAUUGAACCGCAUGGUUCAAUAGUGAAAGACGGUUUUGCUGUCACUUAUAGAUGGAUCCGCGCCGCAUUAGCUAGUUGGUAAGGUAACGGCUUACCAAGGCAACGAUGCGUAGCCGACCUGAGAGGGUGAUCGGCCACACUGGAGCGGGGACAGGGUCCAGACUCCUGCGGGAGGCAGCAGUAGGGAAUCUGCCGCAAUGGGCGAAAGCCUGACGGAGCAACGCCGCGUGAGUGAUGAAGGUCUUCGGAUCGUAAAACUCUGUUAUUAGGGAAGAACAAAUGUGUAAGUAACUAUGCACGUCUUGACGGUACCUAAUCAGAAAGCCACGGCUAACUACGUG
rnacentral:rRNA from 1 species